GCCAGGCAUGGUGGCUCAUGCCUGUAAUCCCAGCACUUUGGGAGGCCGAGGCGGGUGGAUCACCUGAGGCCAGGAGUUCAAGACCAGCCUGGCCAACAUGGUGAAACCCCGUCUCUA
rnacentral:SRP_RNA from 1 species